GACAUUAUAAUGGAUAUACGUCCUCCUACAAAGAUUUUUGAAAUUAGUCCAAUGGAAAGAAGAUGUCCUUCAUCUAGCUCCAGUAGACAAUGGUGUGGGCAUUUCAAAUCUUGAUCCAAGAGAUCAAAUAGAAGCAUCCAAUCAGAGGGAUGUUGAAGUACCUACCUCCCAAGGCCUUCUUGAAAUUGAAGUUAUUAGUGAUGCUGGUCUUAAAUUUGGGUCAAAAGACUUUCCAGAGUUGUCAAACCUCAGCAAUGAUGAUUUUGAACAAAACAUGCAAUUAAACCAAAACAUGAGUGGGAAAAGGCUCUCUCUCUCUCUCUCUCUCUCUCUCUCUCUCUCUCUCUAAGUAUAAUUACCCUUGACAUUCGAACUCCACUCUGGAUGGUUAUGAGGUUUAUCUCUUCCCUCCCUGCUCCUCUCUUAUGCCUUCUUCCAUUUAUUCUAGUAACCCUUUUAAUGCAGCCUUUAUUUUUUGGAAGUGUUCCUCUGCAACUUUUAUAGGGCUUAGCAUGCUUAUCUCAAGUCUGAAUGUUAUAUAGUUUUUAUUUAAUUUCUAAUUAUUAUUAUUUCUUCAAUGAUAUAAUGGAUGAAAAAGAAGUUGAUCUACUCCAUGGCAAUUAAAUAGUCACAGCUAGUGGAUCGGACUUCCAAGGUUCCCUACCCCGUUAUUGGGACCUUUGAGCAGUACAGUCAUGAUCCUUGUCAUUGAUUGAGGGAGUCUGAGGAGUCAAUGGUUUCAAUUACAAUAUAGCUUUUCUUUUUCCAACUUAUGCAAUGUAAGUGAUAUCAUGCGGUUUACCAAAGUGUUUCCAAGAAUUUCUGUGAGUAUCUAAAUCUGAAAUUAGUAAAAAUAUAUGAAUUAUUUCUUUCAAAUCCCUUUGCCUUGUUGUGGAUAAAUAGAGAUUUUUCUAAAUUCACUUUUUCUCUCACAGUUCUCUUCUCAGUUCAAUUCAGUCCCCCACUCCCUUGACCUAUCUCCGACCGAAUCUAAUCUCGAAUAUGUGAGUAGCAAUGACUGCACAAAGCUAGCACUGAGCAACAAUGCCUAAACCCACUCUUGAAAUGGUGAUCAAAAUUCAGACUUCUCUGCAACUUUGUUGACACUGUGAAAGAUGUCAGAAAUAUGAAAUAUCUCUC